GACGAACGCUGGCGGCGUGCUUAACACAUGCAAGUCGAACGGUGACGAGGAGCUUGCUCCUCCGAUCAGUGGCGAACGGGUGAGUAACACGUGAGUAACCCUGCCCCGGACUCUGGGAUAACAGUUGGAAACAGCUGCUAAUACCGGAUACGAGACGGAGAGGCAUCUCUACCGUCUGGAAAGUUCUUCGGUCCGGGAUGGACUCGCGGCCUAUCAGCUAGUUGGUGAGGUAACGGCUCACCAAGGCGACGACGGGUAGCCGGCCUGGAGAGGGCGACCGGCCACACUGGGACUGAGACACGGCCCAGACUCCUACGGGAGGCAGCAGUGGGGAAUAUUGCGACAAUGGGCGAAAGCCUGAUGCAGCGACGCCGCGUGAGGGAUGACGG
rnacentral:rRNA from 1 species